rnacentral:rRNA from 1 species
AUACGGAGGGUGCAAGCGUUAUCCGGAAUCAUUGGGUUUAAAGGGUCCGUAGGCGGACUAUUAAGUCAGAGGUGAAAUCCCACAGCUCAACUGUGGAACUGCCUUUGAUACUGGUAGUCUUGAGUUAUAUGUAAGUAGAUAGAAUGUGUAGUGUAGCGGUGAAAUGCAUAGAUAUUACACAGAAUACCGAUUGCGAAGGCAGUCUACUACGUAUAUACUGACGCUAAGGGACGAAAGCGUGGGGAGCGAACAGGAUUAGAAACCCUAGUAGUCC